rnacentral:rRNA from 1 species
UACGUAGGGGGCUAGCGUUGUCCGGAAUCAUUGGGCGUAAAGCACGCGUAGGCGGCCCGGUAAGUCCGCUGUAAAAGUCCAGGGCUCAACCCUGGAACGCCGGUGGAUACUGUCGGGCUAGAGUCCGGAAGAGGCGAGUGGAAUUCCUGGUGUAGCGGUGGAAUGCGCAGAUAUCAGGAGGAACACCGAUGGCGAAGGCAGCUCGCUGGGACGGUACUGACGCUGAGGCGCGAAAGCGUGGGGAGCGAACAGG